rnacentral:rRNA from 1 species
AUUGAACGCUCGCGGCAUGCCUUACACAUGCAAGUCGAACGGUAACAGGUCUUCGGCUGCUGAUGAGUGGCGAAAGGGUGCGUAAUACAUCGGAACGUGCCCGAAUGUGGGGGUUCACGAGGCGAAACCUUUGCUAAUAUACCCUACGACCUCAGACUGACAGCGGGGGAUCUUCGGACAUCUUGCGGCCGGAGCCGCCGAUGUCAGAUUAGGUAGUUGGUGGGAUAAAAGCUUACCAAGCCGACGAUCUGUAGCUGGUCUGAGAGGAUGAUCAGCCACACUGGGACUGAGACACGGCCCAGACUCCUACGGGAGGCAGCAGUGGGGAAUUUUGGACAAUGGGCGAAAGCCUGAUCCAGCCAUGCCGCGUGCAGGAAGAAGGACUUUGGGUUGUAAACUGCUUUUGUUCGGAACGAAAAGCCUCUGGCUAAUAAAGAGGUGUCAUGACGGUACCGUAAGAAUAAGCACCGGCUAACUUCGUG